rnacentral:tRNA from 1 species
GGGGCCAUAGCUCAGCUGGGAGAGCGCCUGCCUUGCACGCAGGAGGUCAGCGGUUCGAUCCCGCUUGGCUC